rnacentral:rRNA from 1 species
UACGUAGGGUGCAAGCGUUGUCCGGAAUUAUUGGGCGUAAAGAGCUCGUAGGCGGUUUGUCGCGUCUGGUGUGAAAAUCCAGGGCUUAACCCUGGACCUGCAUCGGGUACGGGCAGACUAGAGUGCGGUAGGGGAGAUCGGAAUUCCUGGUGUAGCGGUGAAAUGCGCAGAUAUCAGGAGGAACACCGGUGGCGAAGGCGGUUCUCUGGGCAUGUCCUGACGCUGAGGAGCGAAAGUGUGGGGAGCGAACAGG